rnacentral:lncRNA from 1 species
CCGCGUUUUAUCUUGAUGAUUUAUAUUGACACCAUCAUCGCUAGUUAAUCUCUAUGCAUCCAAGCAUAUAUGAAGCACUCUCCGUAAUAACUAGACUGAAAUAUAAAAUAAAAUGAUCUUGUGAAAUAUUUAUAUUUAUAUUAUCAGAACAUAUAACAGUUAGAUGCAUUUACAAUUAAUAAUUAAAAAUUCAAUGAAUCAUGAAAUAAGCAAAGACUUAGCCAUGAAUCAGGUGCAAAAAGAUCUAAACUUGUUUCAACACAGAAGAAAAGCAUUUAAAUAAACAUCAUAUAAAACUUAAAAAAAUGAAAAAAAAGAAGUAAAACUUACAGUUUGGGAUUAGAAGAGAAUAUAAUCUCUCAGCAUCUUGUAAAUAAAAAACAAACAAUUGAAGCAGAAACCCAAGUCAAUUAGGUGUAAGGCACAAAAUCAAUCAAAUCUUUAAAUUGCACUCACACUUAUCAAAAAAUAAGGCAUAAUAUCUAUCAAAUUGUUGGAAUAGCCCAUAAAAUUGAAUUAAAAACCCAAACUCAAGUAGACGUAAGAAGAUUCAGAAAUACUAUGAUAUAGAGACAUAAGCUCACUGGGGAAGAGACGAAUCAACACUCUUAAAUUUCUGUCCAUAAAUGGAGAUCACAAUGGGGAUGCACUCUUGUUGAUCCUUUUUGUCUUUCUCGUAUCCUUGAAUUAAUGCCGACUAUUAAUGGUAAAAGAAAGAAAUACAAAAGUGGGGAGGGAGAGUGGCGGCUGAGGGAGAAAAAGGUUAG